rnacentral:rRNA from 1 species
UACGAAGGGGGCUAGCGUUGUUCGGAAUUACUGGGCGUAAAGCGCGCGUAGGCGGUUUUGCAAGCCAGAGGUGAAAUGCCUGAGCUUAACUUAGGAAUUGCCUUUGGGACUGUGAGGCUUUGAGGACUGGAGAGGUGAGUGGAAUUCCCAGUGUAGAGGUGAAAUUCGUAGAUAUUGGGAAGAACACCGGUGGCGAAGGCGGCUCACUGGCCAGUUUCUGACGCUGCAGCGCGAAAGCGUGGGGAUCAAACAGG